rnacentral:misc_RNA from 1 species
GCAGCAGCAGCAACCUAACAUGGGAGGUAUGCACCAGCAACAGCAGCCCAACAUGGGCGGGAUGCACCAGCCUGGCAUGGGAGGGCCACCGCCUAACUAUGGUGGAGGGCCUCCCAGAAACUAUGGUGGAGCACCUCCCAAUAACUAUGGUGGAGCACCAAACAAUCAAUAUAAUGGUGGACCAAACAAUGGGGGCGGCAUGCCUUACCAAACAGGUCCAGGACCAAACCAGAACUAUGCAUCUGGUGGAAACCAUUAUCAGAACCCAAAUAUGCCCCCUCCAAGUCAGAACUAUGCUCCGAAUACGCCUGGUGGAAACCAUUAUCAGAACCCAAAUAUGCCCCCUCCAAGUCAGAACUAUGCUCCGAAUACGCCUGGUGGAAACCUUCAUCAGAAUCAAAACAUGCCUGGAAGAGAUCCAAAUUAUCAAUAGGCCGCGCUGUAGAUACGUAUGGAAUUUGUAUUUCUAAAAUUGUACUGCACCGAAGUCAUAAUCGUGGUUGAAUAGGAUGUUUGUUGCUCUUAGUAGUUGAAUGUGCAAUAAGAUAUGCAUGCCUGAUAGUAUUUUCAUUGCAAUGCUACUAUUUCAACAUCCUUUCAGUUUAUCGAUGAAUGUUAUAAUUUCAUAUGGUGAAUGGUUAAGGCAUCAUUGCAGGUAGUGUUUGUGUCUUCGCACGAUUAUGACAAUGUUG